UUCUAUUCUUUAAUCUCUGCAACAAUGGCGAUUGAGUGAAGGAGAGAUUUCUAGUGAGUUCUAUCAUCAACAGAUGUUUCUAACAACACAUAGUUUGUGUUUAUGGUUUGGUUUAACUUUAAUGGUGUUUUAUGACAGUUAAAAGCUUAAACAAGUAACUGGUUAUGGAAAACCCCAUUUUUCUUACAAGAGAACGUCACGAUGUUUGCAAACAUAAUGAGGAAGCAUGUGAAGAAUCCAGUUAGAAAUUUUAGGUUGAAAUCGUGCUACUAAUAAGGUUAUUUUUUUGAUAAUUUGGAUGUGAACUGUGGUGAUUUAGAGGUCUAGUUUCUGAUACUGAAGAAAUGGGUAUUGAACUCUACAGAGAAUUUGUGAAAAGUACUUUGGGGGUGAAAAUUAUUUUGAUUAACUUGACAAGGUACAUACUCAAGCUGCUGGCAUUGAUACAGUCAGGAAAGUGAUGUUGCAUCCGUUGUGUUUGAUAGUGAUGCCGCUGCCGUUGUAUUUUGAUACAGUCGGGAAACGUUUUUAAGAAAAGAGCUGAUGGAUGGAGUGCGCACAUUUAACAACUUCCUACACGAAGGGCUAAUCGAAUAUCUUGACGUUAAUGAACAGAACAAUGCAUUGAUUGCUUUAUAUGAAGGGGAACCAAAAGAAGAUAUCACUCGUAUAGAAAUUGAAGCUUUCAUGAUCUUGGGUGUUUGUGCCGGGCUAAUUCCAUUUCCUCUCCACAAUCUACACUUUUUGCCAGUCGAUUUUAGCUUACAUGUUCAAUUUCUCAACAAAAUGUUGUAAUUAAAUUCGAUGGUUUUGUAGAUGUUUGACGGUGGUAGAACCGUAGAAGUAGACCAAGCUGUUGUUGGUGCUGCUGUAGUGGUUUCGAUGAUGUUGAUAGAGGUUCUUAUGUUGAUUUUGAAGAUGUUGAUGGAGGUGGAUGUUUUUGCUGCGAUGGUUUUGCAGAUGCUAUGGGAGGUGGAAAUGGACCAAAUGGCUGUUGCUGCUGCAGUGUCCAUGGCGUUCAAAACACAAAAGGUUCGCCAUUUCAGAUCCAGGGUUUAGGUGCAGGUGGUGCCAUAUCUAACUGUGGUUACUUGAGUUAUAAGGGAAGGGUAUAUAUGUAAAAAUUUGGAACCGUUUUUUUUUAAACUGUUAGAUCGGAUGGAAGAUGGCUAUUUUGUAAUUGAUAUUGAAAAGUAUGACUAUUUUGUAACCCAAUUACAAAAAAUAUGACCAUCUUGUAAAUGGCCCUAAGAAAUAUUAGAUUCUAAUUAAUAUUUAUA